rnacentral:rRNA from 1 species
AGAGUUUGAUCCUGGCUCAGAUUGAACGCUGGCGGAAUGCUUUACACAUGCAAGUCGAACGGUAGAGGGGGCAACCCCUUGAGAGUGGCGAACGGGUGAGUAAUGUAUCGGAACGUGCCCAGUCGUGGGGGAUAACGUAGUGAAAAUUACGCUAAUACCGCAUACGAUCUAUGGAUGAAAGCGGGGGAUCGCAAGACCUCGCGCGAUUGGAGCGGCCGAUAUCAAAUUAGGUAGUUGGUGAGGUAAAGGCUCACCAAGCCAACGAUCUGUAGCUGGUCUGAGAGGACAACCAGCCACACUGGAACUGAAACACGGUCCAGACUCCUACGGGAGGCAGCAGUGGGGAAUUUUGGACAAUGGACGCAGUCUGAUCCAGCUAUUCCGGGGGCAGGAAAAGGCCUUCCGGUUGUAAACUGCUUUUGUACGGAACAAAAAGCUCUUUUUUAAUACUAGG